AGGGCGCCACCAGGAGUGGAGCCUGCGGCUUAAUUUGACUCAACACGGGAAAACUUACCCGGCCCGGACACUGGAAGGGUUGACAGAUUGAGAGCUCUUUCUUGAUUCAGUGGGUGGUGGUGCAUGGCCGUUCUUAGUUGGUGGAGCGAUUUGUCUGGUUAAUUCCGAUAACGAACGAGACUCUAGCCUACUAAAUAGACUACCGUUCCUUUGUGACGGUAGGACUUCUUAGAGGGACAGGCGGCGACUCAGCCGCACGAAACAGAGCAAUAACAGGUCUGUGAUGCCCUUAGAUGUCCGGGGCCGCACGCGCGCUACACUGAAGUGAUCAGCGUGCAUUAAUAACCCUCUCUGUCAAGAGUGGGUAACCCAUUGAACCUUCUUCGUGAUUGGGAUAGGGUAUUGUAAUUCUUACCCUUGAACGAGGAAUUCCCAGUAAGCGCGAGUCAUAAGCUUGCGUUGAUUACGUCCCUGCCCUUUGUACACACCGCCCGUCGCUACUACCGAUUGAAUGAUUUA
rnacentral:rRNA from 1 species